UUACGCCUACCCUGUAGAUCCGAAUUUGUUCUAAUUAACAAACAGAACGACAAAUUCGGUUCUAGAGAGGUUUGUGUA
rnacentral:pre_miRNA from 1 species